rnacentral:rRNA from 1 species
UGGGGAAUAUUGGACAAUGGGCGCAAGCCUGAUCCAGCCAUGCCGCGUGAGUGAUGAAGGCCUUAGGGUUGUAAAGCUCUUUCACCAGUGAAGAUAAUGACGGUAACCGGAGAAGAAGCCCCGGCUAACUUCGUGCCAGCAGCCGCGGUAAUACGAAGGGGGCUAGCGUUGUUCGGAAUUACUGGGCGUAAAGCGCACGUAGGCGGAUUAUUAAGUCAGGGGUGAAAUCCCGGAGCUCAACUCCGGAACUGCCUUUGAUACUGGUAAUCUAGAGACCGAGAGAGGUAAGUGGAACUCCUAAUGUAGAGGUGGAAUUCGUAGAUAUUAGGAAGAACACCAGUGGCGAAGGCGGCUUACUGGCUCGGAACUGACGCUGAGGUGCGAAAGCGUGGGGAGCAAACA